rnacentral:rRNA from 1 species
UACGUAGGGGGCAAGCGUUGUCCGGAAUCAUUGGGCGUAAAGCGCGCGUAGGCGGCCAGAUAAGUCCGGUGUGAAAGUCAAAGGCUCAACCUUUGAAUGCCGCUGGAAACUGUCUGGCUUGAGUCCGGAAGGGGCGAGUGGAAUUCCUGGUGUAGCGGUGAAAUGCGCAGAUAUCAGGAGGAACACCGGUGGCGAAGGCGGGUCUCUGGGCCGAAAUUGACGCUGAGGAGCGAAAGCGUGGGGAGCAAACAGG